rnacentral:tRNA from 12 species
GCCGGCGUAGCUCAGCUGGUAGAGCAGCUGAUUUGUAAUCAGCUGGUCGGGGGUUCGAAUCCUCUCGCCGGCUCCA